AUUGAACGCUGGCGGCAUGCCUAACACAUGCAAGUCGAACGGUAACGCGAGGAGCUUGCUCCUUGGCGACGAGUGGCGGACGGGUGAGUAAUGCUUGGGAAUCUACCCAGUAGUGGGGGACAACAUUCGGAAACGGAUGCUAAUACCGCAUACGCACUACGGUGGAAAGCGGGGGAUCUUCGGACCUCGCGCUAUUGGAUGAGCCCAAGUCGGAUUAGCUUGUUGGUAGGGUAAUGGCCUACCAAGGCGACGAUCCGUAGCUGGUCUGAGAGGACGAUCAGCCACACUGGGACUGAGACACGGCCCAGACUCCUACGGGAGGCAGCAGUGGGGAAUAUUGGACAAUGGGCGCAAGCCUGAUCCAGCAAUGCCGCGUGUGUGAAGAAGGCCUGCGGGUUGUAAAGCACUUUCACUCGUGAAGAUGAUGACGGUAGCGAGAGAAGAGGCCCCGGCUAACUCCGUG
rnacentral:rRNA from 1 species